AGGCCAUGAACGAUUCAGAACCUGAGG
rnacentral:piRNA from 1 species